GAUGAACGCUGGCGGCGUGCUUAACACAUGCAAGUCGAACGGAAAGGCCCCUUUGGGGGUACUCGAGUGGCGAACGGGUGCGUAACACGUGAGUAACCUGCCCUUGACUUCGGGAUAACUUCAGGAAACUGGGGCUAAUACCGGAUAGGAAUCCUUGCUGCAUGGUGGGGGUUGGAAAGCUUCGGCGGUUUUGGAUGGACUCGCGGCUUAUCAGCUUGUUGGUGGGGUAGUGGCUUACCAAGGCUUUGACGGGUAGCCGGCCUGAGAGGGCGACCGGCCACAUUGGGACUGAGAUACGGCCCAGACUCCUACGGGAGGCAGAAGUGGGGAAUAUUGCACAAUGGGCGGAAGCCUGAUGCAGCAACGCCGCGUGCGGGAUGACGGCCUUCGGGUUGUAAACCGCUUUCAGCAGGGGCGAAGCUUGUGGUGACGGUACCUGCAGAAGAAGCACCGGCUAACUACGUG
rnacentral:rRNA from 1 species